rnacentral:rRNA from 1 species
CAGUCGCCGCGGUAAUACGUAGGUCCCGAGCGUUGUCCGGAUUUAUUGGGCGUAAAGCGAGCGCAGGCGGUUAGAUAAGUCUGAAGUUAAAGGCUGUGGCUUAACCAUAGUACGCUUUGGAAACUGUUUAACUUGAGUGCAAGAGGGGAGAGUGGAAUUCCAUGUGUAGCGGUGAAAUGCGUAGAUAUAUGGAGGAACACCGGUGGCGAAAGCGGCUCUCUGGCUUGUAACUGACGCUGAGGCUCGAAAGCGUGGGGAGCAAACAGGAUUAGAUACCCGCGUAGUCCCUGUCUCUUAUCCA